AACGCGUGAGCAACCUGCCUUUAUCAGGGGGAUAACGCAUCGAAAGAUGUGCUAAUACCGCGUAAGACCACAGCCUCACAUGGGGCAGGGGUCAAAGGAGCAAUCCGGAUAAAGACGGGCUCGCGUCCGAUUAGCUAGUUGGUGAGACAACAGCCCACCAAGGCGACGAUCGGUAGCCGACCUGAGAGGGUGAUCGGCCACAUUGGAACUGAGAGACGGUCCAG
rnacentral:rRNA from 1 species